UUUUUUUUUUAGAAAUGCAGUAUCUUGAAUUUUAUUCUCCAUUGUUUAGAUUAAAAAUAAAACGCAAUUCGUUAACAGAUCAUCUAUGAACAGAUCAUCAGAAAUUGUAUGACACAAAAGCGAAAUUUCGAUUUCCAUGCUAAAAAUGAAAACACGUUGUGGUCUUACGUGUGAUAAUUGUUUACCCGGCAAACUGCGAGACUGUUUACAAUUUUAAGGUAAUGAACUGUUCCUCUAUCAUAACGAGAAGUUUUAAGAAGGCUCGAUGGUCUUGGCCAUAUUAGACUGCAUUGAUCUCCUUUUCAAGAAGAGUUCUAUAUAAAAAUAUAGGAAAAUAUCUAAAUAUAAAAAUUUAAUUUUACGGAUUUUUUCUUUUGUUAAGUAGUGUAUAUGUAAUCACAUUAUAUCCUAAAAUUUUAUAAAAAAUAUGAUAGUUCAUUUGUUGACAAGCGAGCCUCCUUAAAUCUCUGACCUUCGUGUUUGGUAUUCUUAAACAAUGCUGUAUGGUUAUAGUUAUUUAUAACGCUGGGUAUUUUUUAAAAACUCGAUUUGAACUUGCAAAUAUAAGCAUAAACUUUAAGAUUUUUUAUUUCUAUUAUAUCUUCUUUUUUCAUUUGUCACUUCAUAUUUACUUAGUUUAAUGACAUUACCUUAGUUUUCAUAUUUGUUAUAUAGUAGGUGAUAAAAAUACGAAAUUUGAACUUUGAUAAAUUUAUGUGCCUUAAUAAAAUGUUUUUACUU
rnacentral:sRNA from 1 species